rnacentral:rRNA from 1 species
UACAGAGGUCUCAAGCGUUGUUCGGAUUCAUUGGGCGUAAAGGGUGCGUAGGCGGCGCGGUAAGUCGGGUGUGAAAUCUCGGAGCUUAACUCCGAAACUGCAUUCGAUACUGCCGUGCUUGAGGACUGGAGAGGAGACUGGAAUUUACGGUGUAGCGGUGAAAUGCGUAGAUAUCGUAAGGAAGACCAGCGGCGAAGGCGAGUUCCUGGACAGUUACUGACGCUGAGGCACGAAGGCCAGGGGAGCAAAACGGG